rnacentral:rRNA from 1 species
AGGACGAACGCUGGCGGCGCGCCUAACACAUGCAAGUCGAACGAGCGAGAGAGAGCUUGCUUUCUCGAGCGAGUGGCGAACGGGUGAGUAACGCGUGAGGAACCUGCCUCAAAGAGGGGGACAACAGUUGGAAACGACUGCUAAUACCGCAUAAGCCCACGGCUCGGCAUCGAGCAGGGGGAAAAGGAGCAAUCCGCUUUGAGAUGGCCUCGCGUCCGAUUAGCUAGUUGGUGAGGUAACGGCCCACCAAGGCAACGAUCGGUAGCCGGACUGAGAGGUUGAACGGCCACAUUGGGACUGAGACACGGCCCAGACUCCUACGGGAGGCAGCAGUGGGGAAUAUUGCACAAUGGGGGAAACCCUGAUGCAGCGACGCCGCGUGGAGGAAGAAGGUCUUCGGAUUGUAAACUCCUGUUGUUGGGGAAGAUAAUGACGGUACCCAACAAGGAAGCGACGGCUAACUACGUG